UACGUAGGGUGCGAGCGUUGUCCGGAAUUAUUGGGCGUAAAGAGCUCGUAGGCGGUCUGUCGCGUCUGCUGUGAAAUCCCGAGGCUCAACCUCGGGCUUGCAGUGGGUACGGGCAGGCUAGAGUGCGGUAGGGGAGAAUGGAACUCCUGGUGUAGCGGUGGAAUGCGCAGAUAUCAGGAAGAACACCUAUGGCGAAGGCAGCUCUCUGGGACGGUACUGACGCUGAGACGCGAAAGCGUGGGGAGCGAACAGG
rnacentral:rRNA from 1 species